rnacentral:rRNA from 1 species
UACAGAGGGUGCAAGCGUUAAUCGGAAUUACUGGGCGUAAAGCGUGCGCAGGCGGUGAUGUAAGACAGAUGUGAAAUCCCCGGGCUCAACCUGGGAACUGCAUUUGUGACUGCAUCGCUGGAGUGCGGCAGAGGGGGAUGGAAUUCCGCGUGUAGCUGUGAAAUGCGUAGAUAUGCGGAGGAACACCGAUGGCGAAGGCAAUCCCCUGGGCCUGCACUGACGCUCAUGCACGAAAGCGUGGGGAGCAAACAGG